rnacentral:rRNA from 1 species
GGGCCUCUCGCGUCAGGAUAUGCCUAGGUGGGAUUAGCUAGUUGGUGAGGUAAGGGCUCACCAAGGCGACGAUCCCUAGCUGGUCUGAGAGGAUGAUCAGCCACACUGGAACUGAGACACGGUCCAGACUCCUACGGGAGGCAGCAGUGGGGAAUAUUGCACAAUGGGCGCAAGCCUGAUGCAGCCAUGCCGCGUGUGUGAAGAAGGCCUUCGGGUUGUAAAGCACUUUCAGUCGUGAGGAAGGUAGUGUAGUUAAUAGCUGCAUUAUUUGACGUUAGCGACAGAAGAAGCACCGGCUAACUCCGUGCCAGCAGCCGCGGUAAUACGGAGGGUGCGAGCGUUAAUCGGAAUUACUGGGCGUAAAGCGCAUGCAGGUGGUUUGUUAAGUCAGAUGUGAAAGCCCGGGGCUCAACCUCGGAAUUGCAUUUGAAACUGGCAGACUAGAGUACUGUAGAGGGGGGUAGAAUUUCAGGUGUAGCGGUGAAAUGCGUAGAGAUCUGAAGGAAUACCGGUGGCGAAGGCGGCCCCCUGGACAGAUACUGACACUCAGAUGCGAAAGCGUGGGGAGCAAACAGGAUUAGAUACCCUGGUAGUCCACGCCGUAAACGAUGUCUACUUGGAGGUUGUGGCCUUGAGCCGUGGCUUUCGGAGCUAACGCGUUAAGUAGACCGCCUGGGGAGUACGGUCGCAAGAUUAAAACUCAAAUGAAUUGACGGGGGCCCGCACAAGCGGUGGAGCAUGUGGUUUAAUUCGAUGCAACGCGAAGAACCUUACCUACUCUUGACAUCCAGAGAACUUUCCAGAGAUGGAUUGGUGCCUUCGGGAACUCUGAGACAGGUGCUGCAUGGCUGUCGUCAGCUCGUGUUGUGAAAUGUUGGGUUAAGUCCCGCAACGAGCGCAACCCUUAUCCUUGUUUGCCAGCGAGUAAUGUCGGGAACUCCAGGGAGACUGCCGGUGAUAAACCGGAGGAAGGUGGGGACGACGUCAAGUCAUCAUGGCCCUUACGAGUAGGGCUACACACGUGCUACAAUGGCGCAUACAGAGGGCAGCCAACUUGCGAAAGUGAGCGAAUCCCAAAAAGUGCGUCGUAGUCCGGAUUGGAGUCUGCAACUCGACUCCAUGAAGUCGGAAUCGCUAGUAAUCGUGGAUCAGAAUGCCACGGUGAAUACGUUCCCGGGCCUUGUACACACCGCCCGUCACACCAUGGGAGUGGGCUGCAAAAGAAGUAGGUAGUUUAACCUUCGGGGGGACGCUUACCACUUUGUGGUUCAUGACUGGGGUGAAGUCGUAACAAGGUAGCGCUAGGGGAACCUGGCGCUGGAUCACCUCCUUAAACGAUGAU